CAGAAGGCGAGCUUCUACAAUGGGCUCCUGUGUGGCUUGCCAACAACAAGCACCGGCUUAUUUUUGCACAGGGCUCUGCUGACUGAAGUGAUCCCUACGGCCUGAGUGGAAGAGAGGAGGGAGAGGAAGUCUCAAAGGGAAGAAGGAUAGCUGCUGAAGAGCUGACACACACACACACACACUCACACACACACACACACACACACACACACACACACACACACACGCACACACACACACUCAAACACUCACACAAUGUCCCUCUCAGUCCUGGGUUGUGACCGGCCCAUGGCAUUGGCCAGAUGGCAUUCUUUGAGGACGCUUUUCCAUUGCUGCUUUCUGUCUACUUUCAUCGCCGUGCAUCAAGCGACCUGAAAGCACUUCCCUGUUGAUGUACUUGGCUAUAUCUACGUCUGACCUGUCUGCCAUAUGUAAUAUCAAAGCCUCUGUCAGUGUGGAGCUGAAUGGGAACAAAAGAGAGGCCUCCAUUAAUGAUUAACUGUUCUAAAAGCCCCGGCUUUUGUAUUCCCAUGGUGCCCGGGCUAUCUGGCCACCAUGUGACAUGCUCACAGCAUUUUUCGAGCAGAUUGGGGGAAAGCUAGUGAGCAAACACAGGUGCUUUGGAGCAGCGUUGCCGACGCUGUCAGGGACAACCACAAACAAGAGCAGCUAUGCCUGGCUAAAUGAAUCCCCACCCCUCCCAACACCAUCACCACCUCCGCCACCCCCCUCCCCGCUCUCAGUCGCUAGCUAACUUGUUUGCUAGCUCCAUAUAGCUUUCUCCUUGCAAAGCCUUCCUUCUGGAGAGUCCCCACGUCCCCCCUUACAAGUCCAAUGUCCGCUACAGCUCCACGACUUCUCACACCCUCCAGAGAAACAAACAAAUAAAAGUGAGGACAGCCGACCACUUCUUUGAGGUGAUGGCAUUUGCUGUGGUCAUGACUAGUGGGAGAGCAAACAAAUUAAUGGUGUUCCAGUUUUCACUUUCCAAACCAAACUAAAUGUCUUUUAGUUCAAGUGGGGCAAUUCUACUGACCCCGGUGUCAAACGCUGUAUAAGGGUUGCACACUCUUGCACUUGAAACGCAGAGAGG